rnacentral:rRNA from 1 species
UACGAAGGGGGCUAGCGUUGUUCGGAUUUACUGGGCGUAAAGCGCGUGUAGGCGGGUCGUUAAGUUGGGGGUGAAAUCCCGAGGCUCAACCUCGGAACUGCCUUCAAAACUGGCGACCUGGAGCAAGAUAGAGGCAAGUGGAAUUGCGAGUGUAGAGGUGAAAUUCGUAGAUAUUCGCAAGAACACCAGUGGCGAAGGCGGCUCACUGGCCCGGUACUGACGCUGAGGUGCGAAAGCGUGGGGAGCAAACAGG